AUACCCCGGUAGUCCUAGCCGUAAACGAUGGAUACUAGGUGUAUGUGGUAUCGACUCCAUAUGUGCCGUAGUUAACACAGUAAGUAUCCCGCCUGGGGAGUACGGCCGCAAGGUUAAAACUCAAAGGAAUUGACGGGGACCCGCACAAGCGGUGGAGCAUGUGGUUUAAUUCGAUGCAACGCGAAGAACCUUACCUGGUCUUGACAUCCUAGGAAUCCUGCAGAAAUGCGGGAGUGCCUUCGGGAACCUGGAGACAGGUGCUGCAUGGCUGUCGUCAGCUCGUGUCGUGAGAUGUUGGGUUAAGUCCCGCAACGAGCGCAACCCUUGUCCUUAGUUGCCAUCAUUCAGUUGGGCACUCUGGCGGAACCGCCUCGGAUAACGGGGAGGAAGGUGGGGAUGACGUCAAGUCCUCAUGGCCUUUAUGUCCAGGGCUACACACGUGCUACAAUGGCCGGUACAAACCGUCGCAAACCCGCGAGGGGGAGCUAAUCGGAAAAAGCCGGCCUCAGUUCGGAUCGCAGUCUGCAACUCGACUGCGUGAAGCUGGAAUCGCUAGUAAUCGCGGAUCAGAAUGCCGCGGUGAAUACGUUCCCGGGCCUUGUACACACCGCCCGUCACAUCACGAAAGUGGGUUGCACUAGAAGCCGGUGGGCUAACUCGCAAGAGAGGCAGCCGUCCAAGGUGUAAUUCAUGAUUGGGGUGAAGUCGUAACAAGGUAGCCGUAA
rnacentral:rRNA from 1 species